rnacentral:lncRNA from 1 species
CAGAGUCCGGGUAGCUCAAAGCCGCCGCAACAACCGGCACAGCGCUGGCGCAGUACGUGUUGCACCGGCCUUCCCCACCUCCCCUACAGAGCGCCCCAAAACCGCCCCCAUCCCCCUCCGCCCUUUGCACCGGGCCACGGCCCUCAGCCCCCGGGGCCGCUCCCCGCAGCGCUCACCUUGAGGUACUCGUUCUCCGAGCGCAGCUCCUCCACCUCCCGCUGCAGCUCCUCCGGGGCCGCCCGCUGCUCCCCGCGGCUCGGCGCUCUCCCCGCGCCCGGGGCCGUGGGCUCACCGCGAGCACCGGGGAGCGGCAGCGAUGCUCCGCGCCCGGAGACAUGGACGGAGCGGGGCGGCUCGCGGUCGCUGGAGCCGGUGCCGGACUCGGCGUCGCUGCUGGCGGCCGGGGCCGGGCGCUGCUCGUCGGACAGCGGCUCGGAGGGGCAGUCGGAGAGGUCAGAGCUGCUGUCCGUGUGCCCGACGCGGACCAGCGCCGCCGCCGCCGCAUGGCCUCCUCCACCCGCCGCGCCGCCCCGCUUCGCCUUCCUGCCCUUGCCGGGCGACGGGGCCGCCUCGCCGCCGCCGGGCUGCCGUCCCCCGCCGCGGCCGCAGGGAGCCGGCUCCGGACCGCGGGGCGCCCGCUUAACGCAGGCGGCGGCCUUGACGCCCGCUCUGCCGGCGGCGGCGGCGGCGACGGGAGCGGCCUUGGCCCCCGGGGCGGACCGGCGGCGGGAGAGGCGCGCCCGGAGCGGAGAGCAGCCCCGCGGGCGGCGGGUGGGCGCCGGGCUGCGGCGAGGGCGGCUGCGGCGGGGGGCGGCCGGGCAGCGCGGGGGACUUGGGGGGCGCGGGCGGCGGCUUGGCGGAGGAGCGGGCGUGCAGGUCCUUGAGGAAGGGUCUGGCGGGCGACGGGGCGCGGUGCGGCCGCUUCUUGUCGGCGUGCGGGUGGAGGUGGGAGGGCGGCGGGCGCAGCGCCUCGCCGGCCCCGUUCAGCGCCUCCAUGGGGGCUGCCGGCGGCGGGGGCUGCGCAGCGCGGCGGCGGCUCGGGCAGCCUCCUGCAGCCUCCCCGCUCGCUUUCUCAUCACUUCUGCUGCUCCCUGCCACAGCCCUCACACUUUCCUCGCUCGAUCCCCCUCUUCCCGCCCUCCCCCCCCCAUUACCACCUCCUCCUCCUUCUCCUCCUCCUUUCUCCUCCUCCUCGCCUCUCUCUCCCGAGCACUGAUUUGUUUCUAUGAAACGAACCCAAAUCCCUCAGCAGUACCUGUCUCCUCCUCUCCCUCCUCCCAGCUCAGCCCGAUGCCGCCCGAACCCCCUUCCUCCAAGCGCAGCCCCGGCUCCGCCGCCCCCGCCCGGCUCCAGAAAUAG